rnacentral:tRNA from 1 species
GCCCUUGUAGUUCAAUGGACAGAACAGCACACUCCUAGCGUGCUGAUGUAGGUUCGAUUCCUACCGAGGGCA